ACUGAAUAGAUACCCCGGUAGUCCACGCCCUAAACGAUGUCUACUAGUUGUCGGGGAUUCAUUUCCUUGGUAAACGCAGCUAAACGCGUGAAGUAGACCGCCUGGGGAGUACGGCCGCAAGGUUAAAACUCAAAGGAAUUGACGGGGACCCGCACAAGCGGUGGAUGAUGUGGAUUAAUUCGAUGCAACGCGAAAAACCUUACCUACGCUUGACAUGCCAGGAACUUUCCAGAGAUGGAUUGGUGCCCGAAAGGGAACCUGGACACAGGUGCUGCAUGGCUGUCGUCAGCUCGUGUCGUGAGAUGUUGGGUUAAGUCCCGCAACGAGCGCAACCCUUAUCCUUAGUUGCUACGCAAGGGCACUCUAGGGAGACUGCCGGUGACAAACCGGAGGAAGUGGGGAUGACGUCAAGUCCCCAUGGCCCUUAUGUGUAGGGCUUCACACGUCAUACAAUGGUCGGUACAGAGGGUCGCCAACCCGCAGGGGGUAGCCAAUCCCAGAAAACCGAUCGUAGUCCGGAUUGCAGUCUGCAACUCGACUGCAUGAA
rnacentral:rRNA from 1 species